GCGCGCUCCGCCCGAGGCCUCCCGGCGGCCCAUACGGGAAUCGCGGAGCUUAGCUGUCGCCACCUCGCGCCGGGUCCGCGCGGCCCACGGGACCCCCCACUGACGCCCCCGGCCAGCGGUCCACAUGGACGUGCGGGGCCCUGAAGCCCCCGGCGGGCGCGCGCUGCGGGACGCGAAAAUCUAUUUCAGGAACUUCAGGAACAUUUUCAAGCUCUGACGGCAACAUUAAACCUCAGAAUGGAAGAAAUGGGAAAUCGCAUUGAGGACUUACAGAAGAAUGUCAAGGACUUAAUGGUGCAAGCUGGCAUUGAAAAUUCUAUUAAAGAACAAAUGGUAAGGUUAUUAGCAAACUAUGUCAACCGUUUUCGUAUGUUUUGACUGCUUUCAUCUUGAAACAUACAAUCCCAUAUUUGUUCACUAUGGGAAUUGCUGCCUCUGUGCUGCAUGAAAACUGCUCAGGAAUAAUAAAUUUCCAAAUGCUCUCUUCUUUUUUUGAGGGAGAGAGAGAGAGAAAGGAAAGAAAGAAAGAAAGAAAAAGAAAGAAAGAAAGAAAGAAAGAAAGAAAGAAAGAAAGAAAGAAAGAAAGAAAGAAAGAAAAAAAAACGAUGCAGAAUAGCGCCCACGUUGAGCAGGUCCUCCCACCUGUGCCCACGCGGAUGCUUCCCCAGGGAUCCUCUGAACCUCCAGGUCAGAAAGCUGGUGAGCCGUGAAUUCACCCUGCAUUUUAAUUUUUGGGUGUGGUCUGUUCAGGUAGGCAGAGAUGGCAGUGCUCUGAUUCUGCUGGUGGACUGAAGUCCUCAUCCCUUCUCUGCGUGCGCUCAGAGCAGAGGCAGUCUUCCCCCAGACACCUAACCAAGUUUCCUGCAGACACACUGGCAUCAUAACCUUCAGACGUUUAUUCUGAAAGUCUUAAAGCAGUAUGUCAGUGGCCCCAUACUCUGUAGCCUUCUGCCCCUUGCUUUUUUGUUCAGUACUGAGAUUCAUGUCGACACGUGUCGCUCUAGGUCAGUCGCCAACUGCUGCCUGAUAGUCCUCUGAUGAUUUACUUUAUAUUUGACUAAUAUUGUUUCCAAACAAUGCUGCACUAUUCUUGUCUACUUCUUUGUGUACACGUUGCCAGUUUCUCUAGGGGACUUGGUUAUUCUGUACCUAGGGGCUUGUCACCUGCAUUAGCUGCCACAAGUAAUUUCUGGACUUUGCCUAGAAGCCAUCCUGGGGAGAUGGGAAAUAGAAUUCACUAGGUACCCAGAGAGCCACUAGUAUAUCCAACUUGAUUAAAGCACCACAGUGCCACAGACGAGGCAAGGCUUGGCAGCCAUGCAGGCCUAGGUUUCAAAUUCUUAUCCUCUGUUGCUGGCUGUAACCUGGGGAAAUCUAAGCUUUAGUUUUCUUCUCUGCCAAAUAUCUACCUGGUAAGUGGUUGUAAGGAUUUAAGAAAAUUGCUUGCAAAGCACUUAAGUCAGGGCAAGGUAGACAGCAGGUACAUAAUGAGAUAAACUUGAAAUACAGAGUCCAAAUCAUUAUGAUUUCAACUGUACUGCAGCCACAAAGCACCAGUGAGAACGUUAUUAAAAUCAGGGGUGAACAUACUUAAUACACCUGAUAGGAGUUACGGCCUGAACGUUUAUGUCUCCCUAAAUAGCUGAAGACCUAACUGCAGCAUGUCUGUAUUUGGAGAUGGGGCCUCUACAGAAGUCAUUAAGGUUACAUCGGUCCUGAGGGUGGGGCCCUCAUCCAACAGGAUUCGUCUUUCUGAGAAGAGACGCAAGGGGCUCGCCUGCUCUCCCCUCCGUGCCUGCACCAGAGAAGGAGGCCAUCGGCAAGCCAAGGAGAGCCCUCCCCAGAAAUCACACGGACCAGCACCUUGAUCUGGGACUUCCAGAAAACAGAACUGUGAAAAGACAAGUUUCUGUUGUUUAAACCACCCAAUCUGAAGUAUUUUGUUAUGGCAGUCCUGGGCAGACUAAUACAAUAUGCAACACAUUUACAAUAAAUAUACAAUAAACUUACAAAUGUGGAA
rnacentral:lncRNA from 1 species